rnacentral:tRNA from 4 species
GGGUUGUGGCGUGCAGGGCACAAACUGGUCUUGAAAACCAGGCCAUCCGAAAGGUUGAGGGUUCGAUUCCUUCACGACCCGCCA